GGCAUGCCAUUUUAAUGCACAUCUUCAUGACACAAAGAAAUUUGACUUAGAGUACAACUGUCUCCUCAACACUAUGUAUACAUAUUUUUAAUUUAAAAUCUUUUUUAAUAAACCUUUCACCAUUUUCAUUGGAAAUAAACUCUUUGUUAAAUAGUGUAUACACUUGUACCUACCUUUAGUAGCCAUAUACAUACACCUUCUGUCACAGUGUUUAAAUGUGAUAGCUGGUCUGAUAAUUUAGCAGUGGAGACUAUAUAGAGGUUUUCCAAUACUGUCUGACCCAAGGUGCAUGUACAUGGCUGAAGGGUCCUAUCCUAUACUACGGGUAGGGAAGAUUUUCUCUUCUUUUCUUACAUAGAAUAUUAAUAAAAGCAUAUUUCCUUUCAAAACUCGUUGAAAGGAUCAUUAUAUUAAAAAAUAAAUAAAAUAAAAGCUUCAAGUGUCAGUUGUCCUGUAGCUCUGGUCGACACAUGAUUUUAUCUUUUCGUUA